rnacentral:lncRNA from 1 species
AGCCUCACCCAACCCCGGGUGAGGAGAACGAAAAACUCUAGGAGCCCCUAUCCUAUGACCCUGAUACUAGACCUCCAGACUUUCCUAUCAAUGGCCAUGUCCCCGGAAACCCGCAUUCUAGCCAUGUCAUGCCUAAUCACCUCUCCCCAAUACCUCUUAGGCCUCCCUCUGCCUCGCCGAACGCCGACCAUCACCAGUCGUUCACAACUCCUCACCGGGGCAUCAGGACUUCUCCUCUGCACAUGCCCGAACCACCUCAGCCUCGCUUCUCGCAUCUUCUCAUCCACCG